GAGUCACUCUUAAUAUAAUUACCUGUCAAUCUGUAAAACAAUUAACGGGUUUCCAUCAGAAGCGUGGAUAAUGAAUAUUUUCAAGUAAAAAAAUUGACCAAAGUUUUUUACGAAGAUAAAAUUUGAAAAAUCAAGAAAUAAAAAAAUAUCCUCAUGUUUAAUCUCAAUAAACGUACGUCAAAGUACUUCUCUUCCGUGCUUCCAAUAAAUUCAAUACGUUAUCGACUUUUCGUUUUUCCCACAACGAGAAAAUCACUUUGUAUCGAAAAGAGAAAAGUUUAACUUAAGAAAGGAAGAAAGUCCCCUUCUCUGUCAAACAGUUUUACGUUCGCAGUCUAACGGUAACUCGAGGUAAUCGAAGGCAUUACUUAUCCACGAGCCGGUUAAAUUUGUAGCGGCGUAAAGUUCGAUCUAUGCGCCAGAAAACUGAAACCAGGGCCGUACCUAUCUCAAGAGAGUACCAGAGAACUUUUCUUAGGUGUGAUUUCUCAGGACAAUUAAAAAAAAAAAAAGAAAAAUCAGCCUUAAAUCUUUCACCCCAUUUCCACCCUCCAUCCACCCGUCGUCGCUCUCUUUCCCACUUGGACCCUCUCCCCUAACCUAAUUGAUCGCCCAUUAUACGUGUGUAUGCGUAAUUAACGAAUGAACGAACGCAAUUAAUUUACGUGGAGCUCUACUAAUUAGUGUUAUUCCCGCUAAUUAACUGCCGCGAUGCGAUAGAAACAAGGACGGGACGCGGGGGGUUUUACUAAUUAAUAUGUACUUUUUUAUAAUCUAGUCGUAAUUAAAAAUGCGUCUGCCGAGGUCUCAUCUUUUUCGCUCUCCGUAUAUAUAACUACCGCAGUUGCAGUUUCUUCCCGUCCGCGUCGCUGGCGUCGCCCGGCGUUGCAUACGUUUCAUGCACGGCAUUCUAACCAAGAGCACCGGGAGUCCGCUAGGUCAAACCAGAGUCAUUAGUUCUAGGUUAAACCCAUUUAAGUCGGCAAUUUCUAGCUGGGAACUUUAAUUAAACGCCUGCACGGGCUCGAACGCAAAAGGUUUUCUUUGCAGCGACGAGCAAGACGGUUUUGUUUAUUUUUUUUUUCCUUUUUUUCUCACGAGGCUCACGCGAUAAUUUCAACCUAAUCGAGAAUAAUCCUCGUAUCCAUCGAUAGGGAGACUCGCCUUUUUUUUUAUUAUCCCAUUCCCUGCGUAAAGCCCUCGUAUACAUCAGACACUUUAUUUAACUUAAUGACCGAUUCCCAUUAUAUCGCGAAAGACGUGCAUAAAAUUCCCAUUUGUUCACGUUACUCGGAUAUGCUAGAUCAGGAUAGGUUAGGUUAGAUCCAAUACGUUACACGGCGAAGAUUACAGAGUUUCUUAGCAACUACUUUUAUUAGCUCUCGUAUAUUUUGAUAUAUUUGAAAAUAAUUUUUAUAUCGGACAGGAUAUUAACUUGUCAGUCUUGACUUCUACGGUGAUAUCGGAACUUCGAUAGACACUCCAAAUACUCUUCUUCUUUUUCGAUCGUAAAACCUCACCGAUACGUAUAUAAAAAAAAAAAGUAGAAGCCGAAGAAGUACUGCAGAGCAAACAUAUUUACUUUGAACUUGUGAUUUCCUGAUUCCGUCCUACCGUGUACGGAAGGAAAAGGGAGACCUUAAAGUAAAUACGUAUCAAAAUUACAGAUACUGACGUUAAUUAAUAUUAUAAACUAAUUACCAGGCAUAAGUUUAAAUAAUAUCCACGCGUAACCCAAGUUUUAAUAUUGUAACGAAGUUCAAUUUACCAAAGUCCAAUUUAUACUUAAUCCGUAUAAUGGCGGUCAGCAUACGCGUCGCUAACCACCUGGAGAUUAAAGACGCUUGUCGUAUUACGUUAUGGCGAUCGCAACAAGUUGAUCCUCGAUUUUCUGCACGGUAAGAGCUGAAGAUAAAUGUCCUUGGAAAGGACCAAAGUAUAUCAAUGAACUUGGCUCGAAGGAUUAAGCUUUCAGUGUAGCGAGUAACCGAUGAGUCCGGACGGCCCUCUUCGACUGGCGGAGACUCAGCGAAGCGUCAGGAAAGUGGUGGUAGUAGUUGACAAGUUGCGCGAUCAGAUGGCGCCACUUGGAGUCAAGGUAAGUUACGGUUUGGGUUUCGGCGUCUGUUUCGAUGAUCACUGAGAGUUGGGUUCGAUCCUACCUGUCAGUCAAGGAUGAAACGUUAAGGAACUCAGUUGUCAGUGGUUGUCUCUGUAACUUUUGGAUGUGGAUAAAACGAUUUGAUAAAAUGGCGAAUUGAAGGUCCUGUCGACGUAAUAUUUUUUUUUUGACAUAUAUGAGUCCAACGGUGUUUUGGUUUUUUUUUUGGACUUUCUCCUUUUGUUCGAGGGAACUUUCGAACUGGCCGAAUUCCUGCCAAUUUAUCAGCAUGGCGGUUAGCCAUAAGCCAAACGGAGGAGAACGUACCGCGUACAUAUAAAAUGGCCGAAGUACAGGGCGGUGGGUAGAUAGCACUAGUCUAGGACCCACUAAAUCAAACCACUGAAGAAUGUCUUACGAUAACCUUCGGACCUUCGCAAACCGUCCGCAGACCUGGUUUCUCCUGCGUCUACGGAUUUUCAUCCCUCACACUCUCACCGUAUAACUUACACUCGGUCUAACCCUCAUUCCAAACACUCUCGCAUGGUCUCACCCUAGUUUGCAAACUGUUUCCUUUUCGUCCCAUCCCAACCAGAUAGCGUCGUAUACGAUUUCAGCUUGUUGUAUAAAUUCUAUUUUUGCUCUAACCAACAGUUUCGAUUUUUAGGGUGUCUGUGGUAUUUUCAAAAAAGGUCGAAAAUUCAUCGUUACACGAAUUGCGCGGUUAGGUUAGCUGUGUAGAGUGAGAUUGACAAUUUUUGGAAAAAUUUAAGUAUUGAUUUUCUUUCAUUCAAAACAGGCUGUACCAUUUUUGUCAUCUCGUUUUGACAUUAAAAACAAAUUCUGCCUACCGGAAGUUCCAGCCGGUAGUCUCCCUCGGCCAUUAAGGAAGUUAACGAGAACUCAGUGCUGUCUUCCAGUCUAGCUAUGCCUCACGUCACGAGGGGCAAAUAUAAUACGGUACUUUGUUCGCGAGUUAAAUACGAACCAUAAAGGCGCGGAUGAGCAGUUAUACAAGGGAGAAGAGAGGAAGAAAAUAGGAAGGAAAAAGAAAUAAAGAAGGCAGAGCUUCAUCGCUAGCUCGAACCGAGCGGAAACGUAACUCGUGAUAACGGUCAGUAAAAAAAAAUACGUUUCAAGCAGCAAGAUGAUUCGUUCUGGCGUCAAUAACGUGAAGCAGCCUUUACGCAUUACGUGACGCUACGUUGCCGUUAGUUUCGGCUGACGUCGGAAGGUCUUUGCCGCGACGGCGAAAGAAAUCGUUCGGGGAAUCCCCGGUCGUCGUCCCGCUUUUGGAAAUACUUCGCAAGAUGGGGUCUACUAACCGUAACGACGACGUAAGCACAGUAAGCGUUAUAGGGUUACUGUAACGGGAAAAUAGCGUGCAAACCCACGUCGCCUACUUGGAAAUCUCCCUAACGAUCGUCCCGGAUUUCUUUUAUUACUGGCGCGAUGUUCGACGGGGACGCCACGAAAACAGAACUUUCCCGAAACUUGGAUAAACCGAUCACGGUACGGGAUUCGAGUCCUGAAACGACAAGGAAGGAAGACGUUACCGGUAGCGAUGAAGAAGGUGGAGAGAGAUGGUGGCUUUUAAAGGAAAGCGGUCCUUCGCAGAACCAAGACCUGCUUUCUUGGACUAUCUUCGGUAGUGCUAGUAAUGCCGCCAUGUUCGGGAAGUUAAGGAAGUCAGACGGAAAAUUGCUGGAGGAACUCGGAAAUAUGCGAAAGAGCCUUCCGGCACUAAAGUUAUAUCGCCGCUAGUGAAACUAGCGAAGUAUGUCCCAUCACGCUCUGGGAAUAUCUUCUUUGCUUUCCACUAUCUCGUUUUUUUAACUGUCCCUUUGCUUUUCAUUGUAUUUCAUGUUGUGUGACGUAACUUGAUAUUUUCUGACUAAGCGUAACUCUAUCUUGAAAAUCGGAUUAUUGAGUGUUCAGAACUAUUUUUAUUUGUUGUUUAUACAAUAAACUUCGUGAUUCCUGACCAUGUCCCAUUUCCUGAUCGGGAUACCUUCACUGUCAAAUCUUUUCCUACUAGAUGUUUGCACCCUUAGCUUCCUUACGCUUUCUGAACCUAGCGGAAUUUCAUGGAACUAUCGUCGGUGCUCAUCAGCGCCACCUGGUGGAAUAAGCACCCAGAAUA